GCAUUUGCCCACAGAAGUCCAGUCAGGACUACAGGAUUUGAGUCUUAUCUCUUUGUACCAGAUCCUGCCUGAGGCCUGAAAGCAAUGGCGUAGGCCAGCCAUGAAAUGAAGCCUCUGAAAUUGUGAGCCAAAAGAACUCUUCCUCCUGAGCUGAUUUUCCCAGGAUUGUGGAUUGAGGCCAGCGCCUUUACAGUGAGCUAUAUGCCCAAGCCCCAAGCCCCAUCCCUUACUUAAAA